rnacentral:lncRNA from 1 species
AAAUAGCCUAAAUAAAUUUCCUCCUAAUGUGGUUCUAUUUUCAGGUUUUUUAUUUGGUUAUCAAAAUGGUAGGAACCACCACAUUAACAUCUUAAGACUUUUGUAACUUAGCUUCACAUAAAGGAGACUGGGGAACUCAGGAGAGUAAGGCUUGUGUUUAUUAAAAUAUCCAUAUUCAUCAGAUUUUUAGUUUUGCUUACACAGGAAAGAGAUGUGUUAACAAUUAGAAAAUAUACUUUAACAGUUAGAAAAUGUCUUCGGUUUUUCGAAAUGGUUCUCUUAUACUACCCUGUAUCUGAGACCUAGACAUAUUAGUGCCUAUGAGAAACUUCUUUUCUUGGGCUCUAGAAGAAGAUUGUUUACCUUUGGCCCCUUUUGCCUUGGAUGCUGCUUUUGAAGACUAGUCAAGGCAUGAGUAAGUAAAAUCAUCUGUGACUAGUACUUAAUCCUACUCUGGCUUUCUCUUUACUCUGCUGGCUUUUGGCUUUGCUUUCCCAUAUUUGUAUAUUUUUCACAGUAGAUGACAGCUAUUUAUAUCUUUAGUCCAAACAGAAAAAUUACAUAACCUUUACCAAAUAUAUAAAUAUUUCUUCAGUUCCAAUUUUGCAACUGUGAAAUAAGGUGAAUUUCCUCUAGGUUUUGUUUGAACCAUAUUACUGAUCUGUGAAGGAGUGAGCCUCCUAGAUCCCUGGUAGGUAUGAUUUUCUUUACUUCCUUAACUCCAUGGUUUAGAGCACACUGAUUUACAGAAUUAGAGAAGUUCCUGGUCUGUACAGUGGAGCUUUGGCUGGGAGAAUCUGCCGGAGCAAAAGAAGGCAGUGGCAAAUACAGAAGGAGCAACGAGCUCAGGAAAAGAUGCAGGUGAUGCUCCUGACCAUCGUAGAGAUGUGGAAGAGAGCACCCGUUAGCCCAGCAAAGGUCAUGACACUGUUGGCUCAAUUCAGCUGUCAUUGUGCUACUGUGGGGGUAGCAUGCCUUCUAGCUGGGGAUGGUUUUAGGCAAAGAUUCUCUUAUGUGAUGAAGAUUCACCAUUUCUUUCUUGCUGCCAAGUCUUAAGAUCUCAUGUGGUACGUAAAAGGUGGUGAUGAGGUCAAGCCUUAGAAGAAAGUGGCAGCAGCAGCUGGUAUGAUCUGUUCCUUGGUCCUGGCCUGCUGCUUGGAAACACCCCUUGGUUGUAAAUUCUAUUGAUUUAACUUCAUAUGCUUUGUUAAAGGAAACUCUUUGGUACCAGUUUUUUUCCUUUGUGCUUUGAUAAUUGACACCUCAAAGGAGUCAUUUCUCUUUCCUUUCCGUGAUUGCUCUGGCCUAAGAAUGGGAACGUGACGUGUUGGGGACUGUUGACGCCACAGGUGUGGACCCUCACUUUUGUGGUUGAGUCUAUAGCAGACAGAUCUGACUUUAGGAUGGAUCUUGGCAUCUGCAACACCUCAUUGCUGCAGACCAGAGAGUGUGUUGACUGGUGUUUUAAAAGCCUGAACCAGAGAACAGGCGACCCCAGAAGGACUGUAUGACCACUGAGGGAUUUGAUUUCUAUGCCUAUAAAGUGGAGAGUUUCUAGGAUUUCUUUUCUGAGACUGAAAGGUAGAGCUGUGUUAUUUUAGGGGGUAAUUCAUUGUUCUGCAGCGCCAUGGCUUUUCAGGCAGGAAUUCAGAAGAGCAACUCACUCCAAAAAGCUGUUCAAAGGACGACAGUUCUUUCAUCUCACUUAAGCUUUUGGAAGGUGUUGGAUGAUGCUGCCCACAAAACCUUGAAUUUCUACAAACUCUUUUAAGAGUUUUAAAAGAGUAUUUAUUUCAAAAUUUCUACAUGGGGGUAAAAAGUGGUACAGAUUGUUAUCCUGAUAUUGCAGAUUGGAAGACUGAGAACAGAAGAAUAACAGCUUAUCCAGAUUUCCAUAGUCUUUGCAAGAGCAGAUUUUCCCCCUGUAAUCCAAAUUAGGACUUUUGAGCUUUAAGAAAAACAAAACUUCUUUUCCCCACCUGGUUUUUCCUUCAUGCUUAUUGCUGCUGAUUCUGCUUUGUUCCAGCCUGAGAAGAAUUGCAAGUCUUUCUGAGAAGGUCAUGUUUGGUUCCCUUUUUUCUUGGGCUAAGUGAUCACAGAUUUAAACACCAGACUCACUCAUCUGUAUAGGCCUCUCAGCUCCAGCUCAGGAAUGGCCUCGGCAAGUUUUUCCUAGAUAGAUUCCCUGUCUCCUAGUGAAACAGGAAAAUACAGAUGGUCAGUAAACAUAGGAAAGAUGCUUGAGCUCACUACUAAUAUAGAAAGGCAUCCUUACAUUAUAGGCUGCCGUUUCACAAAGGCAGAAUCAGACAGGAAUACAUUUAAAUCCAAUUAGGAGGCAGGACAAGGACAACUCACUUGCCCUCUUGUGUGAACUAUUUUGGAAAACGGUGGAAUUGUCUGGUUAAAAAGCUGUAAACCUCAAGCUGUGGACUUAAUGUUUGUCCCGCCCCUUUCAUAUGUUGAAGGCCUGCUCCACAAUGUGAUGUUAUUUGGAGAUGAGGCGCUUGGGAGGUAAUUAAGUUUAUAUGAGAUUCUAAGGGCAGAACCCCCAUGAUGGGCUUAGCGCUCUUACUAGAAGAGGAGACCUCAGCCUUACAUGUGAGGACACAGUAAGAAGGCAAGCCAGGAAGAGGGUUCAUGCAAAUCCGACCUUGCUCAUCUUGGACUUGGAGCCUCCAGAACUGUGAGGAAAAAAUGGCUUGUUCAAGAUACCCACUCUAGCAUUUUGUUGCGACAGCUGGAACUAAGACACCCAUGACCCAGUAGUUACUCUCUCUGGAAUAAUACCCUUGAGCAACUUUUAAACUAGUGGUAGCCUAUGUAGGGAAGUCAUGAGAUCAGUUCAGCGUCUGUAAACUAUCUUUUUACUUAAGGAAAUAUAACAACACAGAAGAUAACAGGAGACAGUAUUAUUACAUGAAACUUGUUAUAUACUGAUAAACAUCUACACACAAAUACUUGUGUGCAUAGGGUCAAGAUAUGCAAUAUAUUUUAUUUAUUUUUACUGUGGGUUGUAGUAAAAAAGAUAUGGAAAGCCAUGGUUCUAGAGAAACUAGUUUUAUGUGCUUAAAAAUGUUUAGUGUCACUUUCCCUAAUUUUUGGCUUAUUUCAGUGAGGGCGUUCAUCUGUAGGAUGGAUAAGCAGUGUAUUUAUUCAGCGUUUAGCCUUUAGCCACUGAGAAAAUUAAUAUAAGCAAUAUUUAUAUACUUAUAUCCCAUUAUAGCAAUGUGGAUAAACCUCAACAAUGUGGAGUAGGAAAAGAGCAAGUUGCAGAAGAUGUACUGCAUGAAGUUUAAAAAGAACAGUACAUAUAUUGACACAAGAUUGACACAUGUAGAGUAAGAAUAUAAAAACAUACGUGAGAAUAAUAAACACCAGAUUCAGAGUAAUGGUCCCCAGAGGUGGGGAGAGGUAGGGAGGGGACAGAGCUUCAACUUUCUUGGCAAAAUUUCUUAGGCUGGGUAGUGGGGACACAGAUGUAUGUUAUUCUUUGUACCUUUAAAUAUUUCAUAAUAAAAUUUAAAAAUUGUUCUGUCUCAAGUAGAACGAAUAAAAGCUCUUUAUGACAUUCCAAAUGAGAUUAGUAGAAAUGAGUAAGAUGAAGCAGAUUUCUUUUAGAUGCCCUCUACAUGUUUUGGAUAUGUCACCAAAAGUAUAAGCAGCAGCAAAAAAUAAAUUUGAUAAAUUGAACUUUUAACAAAAUUAAAUUUGUGCUUCAAAGGAUACCAUCAAGAAAGUGAAAUGACAUCCCAGGGAAUUAGGAGAAAAUAUUUGUAAAUCGUGUAUCUGAUAAGGUACUUGUGUCUAGAAUAUAAAAACUUACAACUCAAAAAAAG